AAUAGGCAGAGGUAAUACUCCUCAAAUCACGAAUUUUACUCCCACUCUUUGUGACUGGUUGCUUUCGUCUCUUCGCCUCUCCAUCUCGUCGCCUUCCACCACUGACCACCAACCUUCGAUAUUCGAGCUCGAGCUCUAGAUACAGGUCAUGCAGCACCUUUGAGCCCUUGAACCUCUCGAGACACGAUAGCCAGUAGCAGUCCUUUGAGUCUACAUUUCCACCAACAAUUUGAUAGUAGAAGAAGAAGGACUUGUAAUCCGUUGGAGAUUGUUACUAAUUCUUUGGCUUACUACUGGACUAUUGCAUAAAAAAAGACUUGCAAUUGUUGAAAGCAAUGAGGGUUGGGGUGAGCAGCACAUGACACUAAAGUUUGGUACAAGGGCAUCCUGAAAUAUGAUUAAUUUCAAUAUGAAUUAUAUAAAGAGAAGUUGGUUAUGUUUUUCAAUAGCAUGCUUGCAUUUUUUACAUUAUGUAUUCAAGUGUAUAAGAGAAAAUAGUCAUACUUCACAUUAUGUAUUCAAAAAUUUGUAAUGAAAUUAUCAAUUUUUGUACAAUUCCAAAAUUUGUCAUUUUCAA